rnacentral:rRNA from 1 species
GAUGAACGCUGGCGGCGUGCCUAAUACAUGCAAGUCGAGCGAACAGACGAGGAGCUUUCUCCUCUGACGUUAGCGGCGGACGGGUGAGUAACACGUGGAUAACCUACCUAUAAGACUGGGAUAACUUCGGGAAACCGGAGCUAAUACCGGAUAAUAUAUUGAACCGCAUGGUUCAAUAGUGAAAGACGGUUUUGCUGUCACUUAUAGAUGGAUCCGCGCCGCAUUAGCUAGUUGGUAAGGUAACGGCUUACCAAGGCAACGAUGCGUAGCCGACCUGAGAGGGUGAUCGGCCACACUGGAACUGAGACACGGUCCAGACUCCUACGGGAGGCAGCAGUAGGGAAUCUGCCGCAAUGGGCGAAAGCUUGACGGAGCAACGCCGCGUGAGUGAUGAAGGUCUUCGGAUCGUAAACCUCUGUUAUUAGGGAAGAACAAAUGUGUAAGUAACUAUGCACGUCUUGACGGUACCUAAUCAGAAAGCCACGGCUAACUACGUG